UAAAUGCACUAUGUUGCUAAUU
rnacentral:miRNA from 1 species